AGAGUUUGAUCCUGGCUCAGGACGAACGCUGGCGGCGUGCUUAACACAUGCAAGUCGAACGGAAAGGCCCUGCUUUUGUGGGGUGCUCGAGUGGCGAACGGGUGAGUAACACGUGAGUAACCUGCCCUUGACUUUGGGAUAACUUCAGGAAACUGGGGCUAAUACCGGAUAGGAGCUCCUGCUGCAUGGUGGGGGUUGGAAAGUUUCGGCGGUUGGGGAUGGACUCGCGGCUUAUCAGCUUGUUGGUGGGGUAGUGGCUUACCAAGGCUUUGACGGGUAGCCGGCCUGAGAGGGUGACCGGCCACAUUGGGACUGAGAUACGGCCCAGACUCCUACGGGAGGCAGCAGUGGGGAAUAUUGCACAAUGGGCGGAAGCCUGAUGCAGCAACGCCGCGUGCGGGAUGACGGCCUUCGGGUUGUAAACCGCUUUCGCCUGUGACGAAGCGUGAGUGACGGUAAUGGGUAAAGAAGCACCGGCUAACUACGUGCCAGCAGCCGCGGUGAUACGUAGGGUGCGAGCGUUGUCCGGAUUUAUUGGGCGUAAAGGGCUCGUAGGUGGUUGAUCGCGUCGGAAGUGUAAUCUUGGGGCUUAACCCUGAGCGUGCUUUCGAUACGGGUUGACUUGAGGAAGGUAGGGGGGAAUGGAAUUCCUGGUGGAGCGGUGGAAUGCGAGGAGCGAAAGCGUGGGGAGCGAACAGGCUUAGAUACCCUGGUAGUCCACGCUGUAAACGGUGGGUACUAGGUGUGGGGUCCAUUCCACGGGUUCCGUGCCGUAGCUAACGCUUUAAGUACCCCGCCUGGGGAGUACGGCCGCAAGGCUAAAACUCAAAGGAAUUGACGGGGCCCCGCACAAGCGGCGGAGCAUGCGGAUUAAUUCGAUGCAACGCGUAGAACCUUACCUGGGUUUGACAUGGAUCGGGAGUGCUCAGAGAUGGGUGUGCCUCUUUUGGGGUCGGUUCACAGGUGGUGCAUGGCUGUCGUCAGCUCGUGUCGUGAGAUGUUGGGUUAAGUCCCGCAACGAGCGCAACCCUUGUUCACUGUUGCCAGCACGUUAUGGUGGGGACUCAGUGGAGACCGCCGGGGUCAACUCGGAGGAAGGUGGGGAUGACGUCAAGUCAUCAUGCCCCUUAUGUCCAGGGCUUCACGCAUGCUACAAUGGCUGGUACAGAGAGUGGCGAGCCUGUGAGGGUGAGCGAAUCUCGGAAAGCCGGUCUCAGUUCGGAUUGGGGUCUGCAACUCGACCUCAUGAAGUCGGAGUCGCUAGUAAUCGCAGAUCAGCAACGCUGCGGUGAAUACGUUCCCGGGGCUUGUACACACCGCCCGUCAAGUCAUGAAAGUUGGUAACACCCGAAGCCGGUGGCCUAACCGUUGUGGGGGAGCCGUCGAAGGUGGGACUGGUGAUUAGGACUAAGUCGUAACAAGGUAACCAAGGGCGAAUUCCACAGUG
rnacentral:rRNA from 1 species